GAGCUGGCAGAGCUGCUAAUAUGGGYCAGGGCUUGGCUCCUUGGGACUGGCGCAGCCUCAGGCUUGUGGACUUGCCGUUUUCUGGAUCCAUGUUGCUCUCUCAGGGCUUCAUCCUUCUGCAGAAAUUAUCUCAGGAGCCUUAGAGAUGGUUUAUCCUGCUGCGCUCCGCUGGAUGAGAUUGUGGACAGAUGAAUCCCAGAAGUGAAGGUGGUUGAAAGGAAAGAGGAGUUGCUUCCUUGUGGUAAAGCCCUUACUGUAAUAAAGAAGUUGACCUACCUGGGGACUGGCGGUGCCAGGAUUGAGUCUACGAACACAGGAUGCUGCCUGCAGCAGACAAUAAAAGCUAGUUAGCUAACAUUAAGGAAGUACAGAGAUUUCACAGUUUUAUGCCAGGGAAUUUCCUGCAAGCAGGYAUCAUUUUCUUAAGCCCCAAGGCUUCUACAUGAAAGAAACUUCCCUGUAGACCAGAUGUUUUGUGUGAAUAUCCUAUUUGAGGACAAGGAAAAGGAGAUGAUGCUGAAUGGCAGAGGUUGUGAGACCACUAAGGAGCCCCUUUGGUGAAAGCUCAGCAGUGUGUUACCCUGCUCAGUUUUGAGGAUUCAUGACCUGUGGAGAGGGAGACUGCCUCAAUACUUUCAGUUCAACUUGAAAUACUGAAUUUUCCAGCCCCUGAUGACGUGGAGCACCCAGUGUGUGUGCAGGAGGAACUCUGGAUCAACUUCAUUAUUAAGAGUCUUUCCUGUGAAUUAAGUGGUGGCAUUGCCUCAUAAUGUCCUGGAUGACUUUCUCUGUAUCAGCAAAUAAGAUUUCCCUUUGGACAGCAUUCAUGUGGAACUGUUAGAAAAUUGUCCUUAAUUGUGUUUCCUUAUUUCCUUGUGUCUUUUUUUACCUUAGUUGUCAGCAAUAAAGUUAAACACAAAAGCAACAAAAAUUCUUAGCUGYAGCUUUUUUAAAUAGAGAGUGUUCUGUAAUUCUGUAAUAGAUGAUUGCCCUAAUUUAUGUCCAAGACCUGAAGUAAUGGACUGAGGCACCUUAACUAUAAUGAGCUUUGUUUCUCUUGAAAGAGAGAGUAGCCAUUACUCUAAGCUCUUUACAUCUGUGCAUUUGCAAUUGGACUGUGUUUUCCA